GACGAACGCUGGCGGCGUGCCUAAUACAUGCAAGUCGAACGAGAGCGACCGGUGCUUGCACUGGUCAAUCUAGUGGCGAACGGGUGAGUAACACGUGGGUAACCUGCCCAUCAGAGGGGGAUAACAUCCGGAAACGGAUGCUAAAACCGCAUAGGUCUUCGAACCGCAUGGUUUGAAGAGGAAAAGAGGCGCAAGCUUCUGCUGAUGGGUGGACCCGCGGUGCAUUAGCUAGUUGGUGAGGUAACGGCUCACCAAGGCCGGGAUGCAUAGACGACCUGAGAGGGUGAUCGGCCACAUUGGGACUGAGACACGGCCCAUACUCCUACGGGAGGGAGCAGUAGGGAAUCUUCCGCAAUGGACGCAAGUCUGACGGAGCAACGCCGCGUGAGUGAAGAAGGUGUUCGGAUCGUAAAACUCUGUUGUUAGAGAAGAACAAGUGCUAGAGUAACUGUUAGCGCCUUGACGGUAUCUAACCAGAAAGCCACGGCUAACUACGUG
rnacentral:rRNA from 1 species